GCCCGAGCAGCCCUGGGAGCCCUCGCAGGCAUUUCCUUAGGGCUUUCCGCUUCCUAUUUUGUCUCCGCUCAAAGGUUUUGUUCCUUGCAGCAGGCGGGAGAGCUGAAGCCAGCUGCCUGCCUUCUCGCAGGGGAGGUUUCUUCCCGGCGCAGAUGGAAGGAAGGUAUUCCCGGUGAGGCAUUCCCGGGGCCGGCGGUGACAGUGAGGUCACGAGGAGAGCGAGUCUCUGAUGCCACAAGCAGCCCUGGGAUACCUGUGGGAAAUCAGCUUCCUCCUGAAGACACCAUGGAUAUCCUGUUUACUUACAUCUGUACCAACUCUCUACUCUGCAUGAAUACACAGAGCAAAGAAACUGGCAGUUUUGGAGUGUAGCUCGUUUGACUUCCUGAAUCACAGAAGAUGAUGAGUUGGAAGGGACCCACAAGGAUCAUCAAGCUCAUCUCCUGGCCCUGCACAGGAUCAUCCCCAGAAGUCACACCAUGUGUCCAAACCUUUUGAACUCUGCCAGGCUGGUGCUGGGGCCACUUCCCUGGGAAGCCUGUUCCAGUGCCCAGCCACCCUCUGGGUGAAGAACCUUUUCCUAAUAUCCAAUCUAAACCUCCCAUGACAAAAAUUCAGGCCAUUCCUUUGGACUCUGUCACUGAUCACAACAAAGAAAAGAGCAGAGUCUGCCCCCCUUUUCCCCCCAUGAGGGGGUCUGGAGAGAACUUUGCUGUCAGCCUCCACUCUGCCCUAGACAUUUUCUUGACUUGGGGUAGUGUUUCCUCAGUACCAUGAUCCCAAGCUACAGGGAGACUGAGGAUUUCAACUUACUAGUUUUGGAAGACACAGUUCCAAGUUGAUCCCCUGUGCCCUAUUCCAGCUCCUGUCCCCUCUCAAUUGCUCCCAGGUCCUUCAGGUGCAACAGAACUGGGUGCUGGCUUUAAAGCAUCCACUCCUGCAUUUGCAGCAUGGCCUUCAUGCUAUGCAUAUUCAUUUAAUAAUAGCCAAGGCCCAGUGUAUUCCCAGCCAAGCUUGACCUAAAUUCAACAGCAAGGUUUAUUCUACAGCUUGAAUUGCAGGGGAUAGGAGAGUCUGCAGCAGCUGGAGGAAAAAAACAAACCUUGAAAGGGAGAAACUUGGAUUGAAUCAAAUCUGAAUCAAAUCACAGCCAUCUCCUCUGUGUUUCUUUCAUUGGAAGUUCAAAUUCCGUUUAUUGUUCCCAGCUCCAUCAUUUUUAGUUUCCAGUGUGCUGCAGGAUUUGCGAUCUCAAAUAGCUGUAAUUGUUAUGCAGGGAAAUUUUGACUGCUGUGGUUGCUAGAAAUUGAGCAAGGGCUGUGGUGUAGUUUGGAUGAUGGUUUAUCAGGGUGCAGAGUUAGUUCUCUGAAAGGUUACCUAGCAGUAAGGUUACUGCCUCUGUGAGGCAUUACUGGUUCAUUCUUUCAUCACCUGUGGAAGGUAUUCACUGGGCUGAUUUAUUUUGUGCUACUGCUGUGACUUUCAGGCAUAAAGGGCAUAAAGAGACAGCUUCAACAAACUCUGUUCUCAGGGAAAAAGAAAAUAUUCAGGGCUUAAUAAUGACGAGAUAAACAGGUCUUACUCACGUGCUGUUAACCACCGUAAACCCAGGAGGGUUAGAGCAAUGAUAUGCUUAAUCCUGGCCUGCUUGGCCAACUCUUAACUUUGUUAGUCAGCUCCCUGGAGGAGGAACAAAGCUGCUCACGUAUGUAUAGCUCUAAGCUAUUGGCUGUGCUCCAGAAAACGGUCCUCUCUGCUGCUGGAGAAGGAUGCUCACCAAAGCUUUGCUUGUGCUCAUUCAAACACAACCCCUUAAGAAGUUAAUGCUCAACAGAUCCCACCUGAAAUGUGCAGAGAAAGGAAAAUGCCACAAUUCUAUGAAGAGUAGCACAGGCGCACUGUUGGCUUCAAGGGUGGGUAGAAGCCAGUUCUGGGAGCUUUCUGUUAAUGCCUUGUGCUCCUGAAGAAGCUCAGGCUCUGGCACCCUCUUCAGCAAGGCUUUGGGUCCACCUCCACCAUACCAACCAGAUCAGGAGUGCUGGAAAAGACUGGGAACAGAGCUGGAUGGAGCAGGAUGAGGAGGGAGAUGCUUCGGCUGGCCCUCCCCAAAAACUUAUCAGAACAAACCAAACACCUGAGGUAGCCAGGCAGGAGUUUUCAGAGCCCAGGUAGGGGCAGACAUUCUGCCCAACUGGCCAGCAAAGCCUAUGCCACAACAGAUCCACCUCUUACCUGAAAAGCCAACUUCAGCCCAACUGCAGAGAACAAAGUCAGAGCAAAGCAAAAGCAGAGUCACCCUUUGGUUUCUCCACCUGACCUAGCCUUAAAAACUCAAUUUGAAGGUGGCAUUAAGGAAGUAAGACAUCGUUUAUCAGGACUGACAGAUACAAUCUAUAAAUUAGCAUGCUCAGCCUGGGAAUCAGGAGGCAGAGAUAUCUAUCACUUCCUCCCCAGCAGGCUGAUACAGGCACACAAAUUUGGCCAGUUCCCCAGUGCAUAAUCCAGUCUCCAGCAGAUCUAACGACCCAGAGUGCUGGGGUGGGGAUAUUAGGUGGGAGAGACCUGGGGAAGAAUGGAGUUCCUGACUCCACUCCACCCUGUCCUCUGUGACCUGGGGACAGGUGGACUCCCAGCAAAAUGGGGUUCGUGUCUCAGUCCAAAGGCAUACUGCAUUUUUAAACAUGCUGCCAAGGCAUCUGAAGUAGGAUGAGUUGCUAAAUGGCUGCAGCAUUAGAGAAAAGCUGGCUAUUUUAAGAUAUUUCUACAUAGUUUGCAUCCAAAAGAAAGGAUAAUCUAUGGAAUUAUAUUUGCUUUUUAUGUAUAUAAACUACUGUCUCUGUGCUCAGUAAAUGUGGGGCUUUAGCCCAACCCUGGGAGGUUCUGGGUGGCUUUUGGUGAUGCCUAGAAUUACUUUGCUGUAAAAGACACACAAGCAAGGACAUGCACAACAUUGGCAUGAGGCACUCAUCUCACUGAAUCCCUUUUCUAUGUAAAAGCAGGGAAGUUGGCCCAAAUGCUGGAAAUAGGUUCAUUAGGACGCCCCAGCACAGCCUCACUCCCACCCCAGGUUCCUGGGUCUCUGAGUCAGUCCCUGUGGGCAGGAAUGGCUGCUGGGGUGGCUGAAAGGACCACUCCCUCCAAGGCACACGGAAACGAAAUUAUUAGGGAGCUCAGGUGGUGCAGCCAGGAAGACUUUAAAGGUCUCGUAAAUAAGAGCCCAUGUAGACAGCAGGUACUGUAGGGCUUUAUAGGCCUAUAAAACACCCUGAGCUGCCACAAAGGCUGGAAGGGUUGGGUAGGAAAUCUAAUUUCACAGGAUUUAAAGCAGGUGAGAGAGAUAUAAAUGUAUGUUUUUAAUAGUAAUUAAUGCUGCCAUUCAGAAGCACUUAAGCAGUGGGUUUGGAGAAUUUCCAAGGGCUUGCCUCAUAAAUCACAGCCCACUACCUGCCUGCCCUGCUCCUAUGGGGCUGGGCUACUGCUCCCUCACCUGACCUGGCCUUGGCAGUGCGGGCACUUCCAGCUCCAGGCAGAGAGCUCAGCCAUCCUGUUGAACCAGGGGUCGCCCUGGGAUGCUGUCCACCUUUCCUCAAGGUUAUCCCCUCUUCUUCAAAGACAGAGGGACAAAGGAGCAUCUUCUUCACAUUUUUUUGCUGUGGGCUGCUGGUUUUCACCCUGCCUUGUAGUGUCAUUUCUGCUGCACAGGCAGUCGGGUCCCAGCCAGCUCCUGCCUGGCAGGAGUGGAAAGCAGAGGCUGCUGCAGUCCACGGGGAUGAGGUGGAUACUGGGGGAGUGCCCAGGAAACAUUCAGGAGCUGGCAAUGUAUUUAACGCGUGAUGUUUUGUGUGUCAUACUGUGAUUUCUGAUUUGUCACCAGGACCUUUAAGGCUUGAUUCCCUACCGUUCUUGGGUGGUAACAAGGCCAGCAUGGGGAGCUGGAGAGGUGCCCCAUGCCUUAUCAUCCCCAUGCACCCCAGAAAGCAGUUCCAGAGCUCCCAGCCCUUGCUGCAUUGUGUGCACCCACUCCUGCCUCCCACGGCUUCAAGCAGGCGGCAAAGUAGGACGGCAUGACCAGGGUCCCCCUCCACCCCAGCCUCGCCCCCGUCCUUCCAUCUGCACCCCAGCCCAGUCCCAGGCUUGUCCUAAUCCCGCCUGGGAAGGCUCCAACCGUGUGCCAGCCCUGCCCUCUAGUGUCACUUCUGCCACAGCCACUCCUUGUAAUCCAGCACGUUCCUCCAGCACCGCUGGUACAGAUGUGCAGUCGGGAUUUCGGUGUGACUGUUUCAAACAGAGCUUGGCUCCCACGCCAGGGGAGCAGGAAAGGGGAAGGAUCCAGGCACAGAUAUUCCCAUUAUGAUGUUGUAAUUUGGGGUGGAAGGAGCUUGCUACUACCUUUACCUCCAGUCUCUGCCCAUGGUCAAAGCAGGUCCCCACAAUUUCAACAGUCCAGGCAAAAUUCUGAGGAAGCAAGGAGGGGAUAAGACAACCAGGAGAAACCUUCAUUAACUCUUUCUUAUGCACUUCUACUUAUGGAUAGUGUGACUAUCCCGAAUGGGGAUACAGCAUGCCCCAGAUGCACAGGGAGUCUGAGAUGAGGCUAAUUUUAUUAGCUGAUGGGACACCUGCACUGCUUCCAGAAAUAGCUCAGAUUUGCAAAGCUCAGGGCUGCUUUGAUGGGGUAGAGCCCUUGCAGAGGUCCUGUUGCCUCUCUACAGAGCUGAGUCAGCAUGACUGCUCUAGGCACCUGGCACCAGAUGUCCAGAGAUGGAAGAGCCCAGGCAGUUCUGGUUUUGAUCCAGCUUCAAAGCUAGUUGGGAUCCAGCUGGGAGUUAGCCCCUUCUGGGCUGAGCUCCAGCAGAUUCUGUGUGAGUGCCCCAUGUUUUAGGGUCCAGGAAGGUGUCUGAGGUGGGUGCAGCUGUAUCCAAGCACUUUCCAGCUAGUGUCAGCAGGCUGCUGGAGGACAGCAUGUGGGCGAGGCACCAAAGCAUUUUUGCAGAAGCCAUCUGGGCCAACAAAGCUGGCACAGAACCACAGCUAAAAAAUCCACUUAGACCAAAACUGUUCCAAUUCCGCAGUGACACCAGUCCUCCUCUGCACUGGACUCCCCUGGAGUUCCAUGUUUUUCCACAAUGAAACUGCAGCUACAUCUAUUAUCCUGCUACAGUAGACAGGAAGAGAAGGAAGGAGGGCUACAGCAGUAAAACUCUGCCAAGGCUAUUUCUCCUACGAACCAGGGGAGUCUGGAAAAAAGCUGCAUUAUGAUGGGAAACACCAGUGCUAGAAAUAUGUGUUGUUUGAGGACAAUACUGAGAGAUUACUCGAUUCUCUCCCCUGAUUUAUGUUUACUACCCUAGCAGAGAGAGACCUGAUUGAGAUAAUCUGAUCUGACACAUCAAUCUUAGACUUUGCAUUGGCCUUCUUCUCCUGUAUUGAUUAUCAGCAAAUACUAAAUAAUGGAAUGACAGCUGAGACCUGUUGUUAGCAGGUGAGAUCUGCAGUUCAAACUUGAAACCUUGAAAGCUCAAGCUAAUUUUGAUGAGAUACACAGCAAGCCAGAGGAAUCAUCAGUAGGUCCAGUAAAGUAAUACCCCUGUCACAAUAAAGUAAUACUCCUGUCACAGAUGAACCCUCCUGGUUGUUGGUGUCUGCUUGGACACCAUUGUGGCACCACGCCACCCGUACACAGUCAGAGCAUACUCACACACAUACGCAUCUGUACAAAUCUAAAGAUACUUACAUGCUUGUGUAUAUGUGUGUGUUGAUACAUGUAUGAAUCUAGACCGAUAUCUUGAUUUGUAAGCUCCACGCUUUAUAAAUGUCAACAUCAAGGAUGUUUGUAUUAACUAGAAAUCAGAUACCUAUACUUGUAAGGAACAAUAAAUUCUCAAAUACACUGGAA